rnacentral:antisense_RNA from 1 species
GGGACGUUGGAGGGGCGGCCGCAUGGCGUGAUUACUGUCUCUGGCCACCGAGCAGAGCCAGUGACAGCAGCGUUCUGGUAGGCAGGCAGGCGUAUCAGGUUUCAGAGGAUGCGGCUGGGAACGGGAGUAGAGGUGAGGGGUCGUUGCAUCUGUCGCGGUGUGUAUCUUUUGGGGGUUCAGCGCCACCAGCGACUUGGGCCUCAUUCAUCGCGCUUACAAUUCUCCACCUCAUUUGAAGAACAAGCUUCGUAGCCCACGGAGCUGAGGUAUAUGAGCUCCCUGAAAGCACAAAGCAGUUAUUUCCAUCUUCAGAUCAUUCAGAGAUUAUGAAGGCACAAACCCUGCCUUCAAUUUGCUUAUAGUCAAGUGGAGCAGACACAAGUAAAUGAUUGCAGUAUAGCCACUUAAGUAAUCUAAAAGAGACUUAUCAGCAGGUUGCAGGUGAACAUGGCCUUGAGGUAAAUCUGUCCCUUGCUGAAUACAGUUUCAGUAGAUUGUUUAUAGUAGUUUCAGGAAUUGAGAUUUUUUACAAAAAUACAAAAGUUUUGCUUGGUUCUGUUCUAGAUGUUUUCUUCUAAAUAAAUGAGAAAGAUGUUUCAACAAAGGCUCUUUAUGCUGAAUAAUUGUGAUGCUUGAAGUUGCUAAUCUGCUUUAAGUGGAUUUUAAAUGUCAGGCAAUUCUAGACAGUUUUUUCUUGGUCAAAUAAAAAUUUAAUUAAAACUUUA